rnacentral:rRNA from 1 species
UACGGGGGGAGCAAGCGUUGUUCGGAUUUACUGGGCGUAAAGGGCGCGUAGGCGGCCACCGCAAGUCGACUGUGAAAUCUCCGGGCUUAACCCGGAAAGGUCAGCCGAUACUGCGGGGCUAGAGUGCAGAAGGGGCAACUGGAAUUCCCGGUGUAGCAGUGAAAUGCGUAGAUAUCGGGAGGAAUACCGAUGGCGAAGGCAGGUCUCUGGGCUGACACUGACGCUCAUGCACGAAAGCGUGGGGAGCAAACAGG